rnacentral:rRNA from 1 species
UACGAGUGCCCCAAGCGUUAUCCGGAAUUAUUGGGCGUAAAGGGUGUGUAGGCGGUCUUGUUAGUCUUCUGUGAAAUUCUUCGGCUUAACCGGGGGUCCGCAGGGGAAACGGCAGGACUAGAGGAUGCGAGAGGUGUACGGAACUCAUGGUGUAGGGGUGAAAUCCGUUGAUAUCAUGGGGAACACCAAAAGCGAAGGCAGUACACUGGCGCGCUCCUGACGCUGAAGCACGAAAGCGUGGGUAGCGAAUGGG